UCCCUGGUGGCUCAGACAGCAAAGCAUCUGUCUACGAUGCAGGAGACCCAGGUUCGAUCCCUGGGUUGGGAA
rnacentral:tRNA from 1 species